GGUCUGUUCCCAUGGCUUCUCUGAGAGGUCGGGAAGAGCUGAGCAGGAUCUGUGAUUUGAUGGAGAAAAGGCAACUUUUUAACCAGGGGGCAAAAUUCCUGCCGGCUUCCAGAUGACCUCAAUCGAAUCUUAACCGCCGCCAAGGUGUGGCCUGAAGCGUUCUCUCGCCCAGCCAGCGUUCUCUCACAGCUCCCAGAGGCACGGAAGGCGGGGCCAGCUUCGGCCAGACAGGCAACUCGAAGCCCCAUUGGUCGACUCAAAAGCAUAGGAUGAGCUCAUUGGAUGAGCCUGAGGAACGCAGCACCUCAUUGGCGGCAGAGAAGCCAAUUGCUGGCAGCCUUGGAAGGCGCACAUGCGCAGAAGGUACUGAGACCAGGGGAGCCCUGAUGUGUGCUGGGGCCCUGACUGCCAGGGUGGAAGCUCCAUUGGUCUCGGCGCAUCUCCCC